GAUGAAGAACGUAGCGAAAUGCGAUAACUAAUGUAAAUUGCAGAAUUCAGUGAAUCAUCGAGUCUUUGAACGCACAUUGCGCCCCCUGGUAUUCCGGGGGGCAUGCCUGUCCGAGCGUCAUUGCUGCCCUCAAGCACGGCUUGUGUGUUGGGCUCCGUCCCCCCGGGGACGGGCCCGAAAGGCAGCGGCGGCACCGAGUCCGGUCCUCGAGCGUAUGGGGCUUUGUCACCCGCUCUGUAGGCCCGGCCGGCGCCAGCCGACAACCCAUCAUCCUUUUCAGGUUGACCUCGGAUCAGGUAGGGAUACCCGCUGAACUUAAGCAUAUCAAUAAGCGGAGGA
rnacentral:misc_RNA from 1 species